rnacentral:antisense_RNA from 1 species
UGUUAUUGCCGCUGUGCGUGGGAGGCCUUCGGGUCUGUCGGGUCUUAACGCCUCGGUCUGCGAACCCGCGUACAGUUGCCACCCCA